GCCGUCUGUGGUGGUGCAGGGUGCCCCCGUGCCGUUCGUGUCGGCGCAGGGUGCCCCCGUGCCGUUCGAGGUGGCGCAGAGUGCCCC
rnacentral:tRNA from 1 species